rnacentral:rRNA from 1 species
GGGANNUANCNNCNGUCGACGAUUCCUACGGGAGGCAGCAGUAGGGAAUCUUCGGCAAUGGGCGAAAGCCUGACCGAGCAACGCCGCGUGAAUGAUGAAGGCCUUCGGGUUGUAAAAUUCUGUUAUAAGGGAAGAACGACUUUAGUAGGAAAUGGCUAGAGUGUGACGGUACCUUAUGAGAAAGCCACGGCUAACUACGUGCCAGCAGCCGCGGUAAUACGUAGGUGGCGAGCGUUAUCCGGAAUUAUUGGGCGUAAAGAGCGCGCAGGUGGUUGAUUAAGUCUGAUGUGAAAGCCCACGGCUUAACCGUGGAGGGUCAUUGGAAACUGGUCGACUUGAGUGCAGAAGAGGGAAGUGGAAUUCCAUGUGUAGCGGUGAAAUGCGUAGAGAUAUGGAGGAACACCAGUGGCGAAGGCGGCUUCCUGGUCUGUAACUGACACUGAGGCGCGAAAGCGUGGGGAGCAAACAGGAUUAGAUACCCUGGUAGUCCACGCCGUAAACGAUGAGUGCUAAGUGUUGGGGGUCGAACCUCAGUGCUGAAGUUAACGCAUUAAGCACUCCGCCUGGGGAGUACGGUCGCAAGACUGAAACUCAAAGGAAUUGACGG